AACGAACGCUGGCGGCGUGCCUAACACAUGCAAGUCGAACGAGAAAGCGGGGGCAACCCUGUGAGUAAAGUGGCAGACGGGUGAGUAACACGUGAACAACCUACCCUCGAGUGGGAAUAACACCGCGAAAGCGGUGCUAAUACCGCAUAACAUCUUCGGAUCGCAUGAUCUGAAGAUCAAAAGCGCAAGUUGCUUGAGGAGGGGUUCGCGCCUGAUUAGCUAGUUGGUGAGGUAACGGCCCACCAAGGCAAUGAUCAGUAGCCGGCCUGAGAGGGCGAACGGCCACACUGGAACUGAGACACGGUCCAGACUCCUACGGGAGGCAGCAGUGGGGAAUUUUGCGCAAUGGGCGAAAGCCUGACGCAGCAACGCCGCGUGGAGGAUGAAGGUCCUCGGAUCGUAAACUCCUGUCAGUAGGGACGAAUGCCUCGCAAGAGGUUUGACUGUACCUGCUGAGGAAGCCACGGCUAACUCCGUGCCAGC
rnacentral:rRNA from 1 species